GGGGACCCGAAGCAAAUUUAGUAAGACCAUUCUCAGAGGGAUGGACCAUGGAUUGCAUUAAUGAAGACACUGAUUGACUACGUGCAAUAUAGUCAGAACUCAUAUCUCGUGAAUCAUUUGAUCCGUCAUCCAUGCUCUGCUCAAUUUCAAAUACAUGUUUGAUCCUACUGAAUAUGGUGAAUAGCGAUCUAGCUAGAAGAAGAAUUGUG
rnacentral:misc_RNA from 1 species